UACGAAGGGGGGCUAGCGUUGUUCGGAAUUACUGGGCGUAAAGCGAGUGUAGGUGGUUGUCAUAGUCAGGUGUGAAAGCCUUGAGCUCAACUCAAGAAAUGCACUUGAUACUGGAUGACUAGAGGACCGGAGAGGAUAGUGGAAUUCCCAGUGUAGUGGUGAAAUACGUAGAGAUUGGGAAGAACACCAGUGGCGAAGGCGGCUAUCUGGACGGUUUCUGACACUAAGACUCGAAAGCGUGGGGAGCAAACAGG
rnacentral:rRNA from 1 species